UAGCAUCAGCGAGAAGGUUGCCAACUUGUACUCUGUGUACCGCGCUGAGGGCUCCAACAAGUACACCGACAUCUACAAGCAGGCCAUCAUCGCCUCCGACUACAAGAGCUACGCCCUCGUCCUGUCCUGCAAGACUUACUUCAACGCCGAGGUCAAGAACUUCCAGAGGGCUCUGUUCGCCGAGAUCUGGACUCGCCAGGACGUGACCCUCAGCCAGGACACCUACACCGCCCUCACCAACCAGCUGACCUCCUACGGAAUCGACGCUGCCACCAUCAAGCAGGUGGAGAAAUGCUAAAUCUGGACUCCCCGGACAUGACCUUCAAAACGAAGGAGAGCAAUGUGAACCCCGGACCAAAUAUUUAUGAACCCUCCAAAAUUUUAAUUUAAAUAAAUUAAUUUAUUUCUGCCACAAA